ACGAACGCUGGCGGCGUGCUUAACACAUGCCAGUCGAACGAUGAACCCGGAGCUUGCUCUGGGGGAUUAGUGGCGAACGGGUGAGUAACACGUGAGUAACCUGCCCUGGACUCUGGGAUAAGCGUUGGAAACGACGUCUAAUACCGGAUAGGACCUUGGAUCGCAUGAUCUGGGGUGGAAAGUUUUUUCGGUCUGGGAUGGACUCGCGGCCUAUCAGCUUGUUGGUGAGGUAAUGGCUCACCAAGGCGUCGACGGGUAGCCGGCCUGAGAGGGUGACCGGCCACACUGGGACUGAGACACGGCCCAGACUCCUACGGGAGGCAGCAGUGGGGAAUAUUGCACAAUGGGCGAAAGCCUGAUGCAGCAACGCCGCGUGCGGGAUGACGGCCGUCGGGUUGUAAACCGCUUUUAGUAGGGAAGAAGGGCUUCGGCUUGACGGUACCUGCAGAAAAAGGACCGGCUAACUACGUG
rnacentral:rRNA from 1 species